rnacentral:misc_RNA from 1 species
UGCAGCAGAAGCGGCAGCAGCCCUCAGGCUAUCAUAUUGCUGCGGUUGAAUUAGGUUCAUGCACUUGGCAGAAUAAGGGAAAGAAGCAGAACUCAUGAGUUGAGAAGCACCAGCUAACCUCUGCUGUUGAGCAGACUUGGAUCUAAGCAUCUCAUGACACUGCUCCAUCGUGUCAAUCUUGUUAGGUGAAACCACAGAUGUAUUAUCUGAUUCUUCGAUCCCAACAUGAAUAAACCUACAAUUACUCCCAUUCUUGCAGUACCCUCUAGCAAAGUAAAGACAAGGCCUCCAUCCAAAACCGGAACUAGGAUCCUCAGACCCCAUGAUAUCGCUAACGGAGCAGCUCCGCCGGUGGAUAGGCCCACCCCAGUAAGAUGGGAAGUGCAUAGAAUCAGUACCAGCAGCUCCCGCUGCAUUUGGACCUGCCGAAGAGUCCAGUUGAGGGUAAAAAAGAUCUGGGCUUUUGGGUCCAACAUUUGUUGAGCCAUCAUUUAGGAAAGAAAGCUGGUCUUGGAGCUGAAACUCUUCUAGCAAAUCAGAUCCUCCUCCCCUACCAUUAGCAUAGAAAGGUGCAGAGGCAGGAUUAAGAGAACUACCAUUAGGACUAAUCAAGUCCUCAGAGUGGCUUGGAAGGUCAGAGAUAGCACUCCAAGACGAAGAAGCAUUUG